AAUCAACGCUGGCGGCGCGCUUAACACAUGCAAGUCGAGCGAGAAAGUGGAGCAAUCCAUGAGUAAAGCGGCGUACGGGUGAGUAACACGUGGGUCAUUUACCUCUUAGUGGGGAAUAACCCUGGGAAACCGGGGCUAAUACCGCAUAAGCCUGCAAAGGGAAAGCAGCAAUGCGCUGAGAGAGAAGCCCGCGGCCGAUUAGCUAGUUGGUGAGGUAAUGGCUCACCAAGGCGGUGAUCGGUAGCCGGCCUGAGAGGGCACACGGCCACACUGGUAC
rnacentral:rRNA from 1 species